UCCGGUUUGUCACCGGCGGUCCCCUUAGAGUUCCAACUUAAUGAUGGCAACUAAGGGCAAGGGUUGCGCUCGUUGCGGGACUUAACCCAACAUCUCACGACACGAGCUGACGACAGCCAUGCAGCACCUGAACCGGUAGUCCCCGAAGGGAAAACCCUAUUUCUAGGGCUGUCCACCGUUGUCUAGCCCAGGUAAGGUUCUUCGCGUUGCGUCGAAUUGAACCACAUGCUCCACCGCUUGUGCGGGCCCCCGUCAAUUCCUUUGAGUUUCAGCCUUGCGGCCGUACUCCCCAGGCGGGGCACUUAACGCGUUAGCUGCGGCACCGAAGGGGUCGCUCCCCCCGGCACCUAGUGCCCAUCGUUUACAGCGUGGACUAC
rnacentral:misc_RNA from 1 species